AAACAAUGUAAGUAAGGGAAGUCGGCAAAUUGAAUCCGUAACCUCGGGAAAACGAUUGGCUCUGAGGGCCGAGUCAAACGGGCUGGAGUCAGAUACGUGUCGGUCCAGUUGGAGGCUGGUUUCUCUCUCAUUGUCUGCCUCUGGUGAUUGAGGUUUGCGGAGUUACUGGACUCUGACCGGGUCGGUCGUGGAUGACUUCAGCUAAUGGUGUUGCUUAGCAGGUGGCGUGCACGGGGAACUGUGCGCAAUGCGGUCUGGCUUUCUUCGUUUGGCGUUCAAUGGCUGACUCAGAACUGACACAGAUCAGAAGAAUCCGACUGUCUAAUUAAAUCAAAGCAUUGCGAUGUUCAUUGACCGGUUUUGACGCAAUGUAUUUCCUAAUGAUACCGAAUACGCACCGUCGACCAACGGUU
rnacentral:ncRNA from 1 species